GCAUCGACAGCUCAGUGGCAGAGCAAUGGGGCGUUUGCCCAUGCGACCUGGGUUCGAGCCCUAGUCAAUGCA